CCUACGGGAGUCAGCAGUAGGGAAUUUUGCGCAAUUGGCGAAAGCCUGACGCAGCAACGCCGCGUGAUCGAGACGCCCUUCGGGGUGUAAAGAUCUGUCAGUGGGGACGACACUUGACGGUACCCCCAGAGGAAGCACCGGCUAACUCCGUGCCAGCAGCCGCGGAAAUACGGGGGGCGCAAGCGUUGACAGGAAUCGUUGGGCGUAAAGAGUUCGUAGGCGGCACGUAAAGUCUCGUGGUAAAUGUAGAGGCUCAACUGCUGUACGGCACUGGAUACUGACGAGCUUGAAUGGGGGAGAGGUAAAGGGAAUGCGUGGUGUAGCGGUGAAAUGCUUAGAUAUCAGGAGGAACAGCGAUGGCGUAAGCGCUUUACUGGGGCGUAAUUGACGCUGAGGAACGAAAGCCAGGGUAGCAAAUGGGAUUAGAUACCCCAGUAGUC
rnacentral:rRNA from 1 species